rnacentral:rRNA from 1 species
GACGAACCGUGCGAACGUUGUUCGGAAUCACUGGGCUUAAAGGGCGCGUAGGCGGCUUGCCAAGUCAGUGGUGAAAUCCUGCAGCUUAACUGCAGAAGUGCCUUUGAUACUGGCGAGCUCGAGGGAGGUAGGGGUAUGCGGAACUUCUGGUGGAGCGGUGAAAUGCGUUGAUAUCAGAAGGAACGCCGGUGGCGAAGGCGGGUCUCUGGGCCGAUACUGACGCUGAGGAGCGAAAGCCAGGGGAGCAAACGGG